CAAAACUUUUUUUUUUUUUGAGAAAAUGUCCUUCCCCCCAAUCCCCACUAGAGGAGGGAUCACAAUCUGGAGGAGAAAGGGUUUUAAUACUGAAAAGUGUCCUUGGGGAUUCAGAUUUCCUGCUCAGAGUUUAUUUGAUUUGUUUAGUUGGUAACUUACUGAAUCUGAGACUAUCAGAGCAGAUGUUUGAGAGAAAAAUUCACCUCUGGAAGACUAUUACUCUUGGAGUGGGAGAAGCUACUUGGGGGUCCCCGUUCACAUAUUGGACUUAUUUGGGACUGAUGUUUUCCGCCAAGUCAAAGAGACCCUGGAGAUGUGGGAAGGCAUAGUACAGGAAGAGGGGGAAGGAGGUUAGUUCUGAGUCUCUGACAGCUGAAAAGGGAACUUUCUCCAGGUUGGGAGCCAAUAUCACAAAGAUCUUGGUAUAGCCUAGAAGAGAAUCUCCUAAUCUCUUUUCUUUAUUUUUACUGGAGAAGAACCUAAAAUGAUCAACAAAACUGAGAAUGGAAACUCAGAAGGAGUUUCUUUGGCUUGAGAGAAAAGGGCAAGAGGGAAAUGUAAGGAUGAGAGCUGUGUGGAUCUCAGUGCUCAGGCCAGAAGGCCACUGAGACUUGAGAGAGCUCCUGUGCGUGUUGUUUCUCGGGCUGUACUGGCUUCUCAGAAGGGUCGAGGCUCUGGUAGCCCAAGAGGGAGGGUUAGGUGGUGAGUGGCAUCUCCCAGAAUCAGUAUAUUUAGACUCUGGAGAAGCUUGGGUAGAGAGUUGGCAAAGGGUCACUGUCUAAGAAUGCCUUUGAGGAGUUUACUCCUCCAGAUAACUCCUUUCCUCACCGUCAGUGCUUGAAUGUGGAAGUGGGAAGGAAGUCACAGAUUCCUGAACUGGAGGGAGUCAGCUGAGAGAGGAUUCACCUCUCAGGACGGCCUCUCAGGUGUUAGAAGGUCUAGGUUUGCAGAGAGCUCGCAGCCGGCUCGGAGCAGGGUCCGGCGAGGCGCCGCGGGCGGGGGCGGGGAGCCCGGGAACCGCAAUCCAGAAGCAUCGCGGGCCAUGUAUAUUUCAUCAAAUGGACUUUGGGUGCGUCGCGUCUCGCAGCCAUCAACGCUAUGUGCGGUGACAUUUCUGACUUGAGUGGAGGAAUGCGCGAAGGAAGCCCGGACGAAAUUGGUACUAGAGGAUCUUCUUGGCGCCAAUGCUAAUUGUCCUGAUUUAUGUCCCUUCUGAGUAAGCUCAACGUUUUCGUCUGAAAUAAAAUGAAAGCUGUGCCAAGCGGGGUAGAAC
rnacentral:lncRNA from 1 species